UACAGAGGGGGCGAGCGUUGUUCGGAAUUACUGGGCGUAAAGGGCGCGUAGGCGGCCCGCUAAGUCGAACGUGAAAUCCCUCGGCUUAACCGGGGAACUGCGUCUGAUACUGGAUGGCUUGAGUUUGGGAGAGGGAUGCGGAAUUCCAGGUGUAGCGGUGAAAUGCGUAGAUAUCUGGAGGAACACCGGUGGCGAAGGCGGCAUCCUGGACCAACACUGACGCUGAGGAGCGAAAGCCAGGGGAGCAAACGGG
rnacentral:rRNA from 1 species